rnacentral:ncRNA from 1 species
ACAGAUAAGGGGAAUCCGACUAUUUAAUUAAAACAAAGCAUUGUGAUGGUCCCUGCGGAUGCUAACACAAUGUGAUUUAUGCUCAGUUAUUUGCAUGUCAAAGUGAAUAAAUUCAACCAAGUGCGGGUAAACGAUGGGAGUAACUAUGAAUCUCUUAAGGUAGCCAGAUGCCUUGUCAUCUAAUUAGUGAUGCACAUGAAUGGAUUAACGAGAUUCCCAUUGUCGCAAGCUACUAUAUAGAUAAACCAUAUCCAAGGGAACGAGCUUGGAAAAAUUAGCGGGGAAAUAAGACCCUGUUGAGAUUGAAUCUAGUCCGACUUUAUGAAAUAACUUGAGAGGUGUAAAAUAAGUGGGAGUUGUUUUCAAUGCAAGUGAAAUACCACUACCGUUAACGUUAUUUUACUUAUUUUGUGGGGUAGAUACGAGGCAUUUCACAUAUGUUAAAAUAUAAUGCACAUCUCUCCUCAAAGUGUUUUCAUUGAUGGAAAUGGUCAAGAGCUCAUUCUUCACGCACUUGAUGACAAUGAGUUUAGGAAACAAGCACAAAUUGAAAAACUUUCAAUGUUGGCACAUGGUAUAUGGUUGAUAUGCAUGAUUUAUUCCCCCCACUUGACCAUAGAAAGUGCCUUAAGACACCGAUCCCCUAUGCAUAAGAACCUAUAAUAGUACCCACAUUCUUCUUAGAGGAAAAAAGUUACCUCUAAAGUGUCUUUGUUGUGGUUUGAGUUCAUGUUCAUGGCUAAUGAGCCUUAGAUAUACAUUUAUGGUGUAAGGCCCUUGUUUUCCUCCCUUGAUUAUGGUCAAGGCUCUGAGACCCAUUCUUACUAUGCAAAAACUCCUAAUCACACCCAUAUCCCAUUUGUAUGCCAAAGGUCCACUUUAAAGGGUCUAUGUUGUGGUUUAAGGCCUUGAUUGUGGCACAUUAGAUCAAUAAUAUUAAUUUAGGGAAUAAUUCCCUAGAUUUCUC